rnacentral:pre_miRNA from 1 species
AUACAGUGAAGGUAUUGGCGUGCCUCAAUCUAAAUACGUGGUUAGCUUAUAUCUAUUAGCCAUGUAAUUUUGAUUGAGCCGCGUCAAUAUCUCUUUUUUGCAA